UACGUAGGGUGCAAGCGUUGUCCGGAAUUAUUGGGCGUAAAGAGCUCGUAGGCGGUCUGUCGCGUCGGCUGUGAAAACCUGGGGCUCAACCCCGGGCCUGCAGCCGAUACGGGCAGACUAGAGGCAGGUAGGGGAGAACGGAAUUCCCGGUGUAGCGGUGAAAUGCGCAGAUAUCGGGAGGAACACCGGUGGCGAAGGCGGUUCUCUGGGCCUGUACUGACGCUGAGGAGCGAAAGCGUGGGGAGCGAACAGG
rnacentral:rRNA from 1 species